AAAUGGAAAGGCUUCAGGGGAAAAUAUCGAAUAGUCUAGAAGAAAUAUGAAUUGUUUAAGACCAUAUCAGAUGAUAUGUUAAAUGUCAUUAUGCUAGGUUUCCAAGCAAAUCCGGUUCAAGUCUUGGCCUUGAAGAUUAACCGGUCUAGAUAAAAUCUAGAUACAUUAAAAGAAGAAAAACAAUAAGGAUUUACUGGGUGACAACAUGCUGAUGGAAGUCUGUGGAAUGUGCUGAGAGAAUAUCAGUCUGUCCCUGAUGUUUUUCCUGGAGAAAAGUGGCUUCAUGUCUGCCAUUCUUGACACCAGGCCAUCCUUCAAAAGUUUUCACCUCACAGUGCAUACAGAUGCAUUCACACCUGCCUGAUGCUAUUCCUGAGCAAGCUCUGCACUGGUGGUGCCCUGAUCCCACAGCUGAAUCAAAUUUAGCACACGGUCCUGGUGCUUGCUGGACUUUCUUGAGCACCCUGAAGCGUUCUUCACAACAACUGAACUUCUCUCCUUGAAGUUCUUGAUUAUCCAGUAAAUGGUUGAUUUAUGUGCAAUGAUGACUGUGUGUUUCCUUGCAGGUAAACAUUGAUAACAGAAGAAGAACAAUGAUUUCAAGCACCGCAAUCCUUUUGUAGCCUCCAGUCUGUUAUUCUAACUUAAUCAGCAUGACAUUGUGAUCUCCAGCCUCCAGUGUUGUCCUUCUUCAACACUCACUUGUGUUAAUAAGAGAAUCACAUGAUGUCAACUGGUGCUUUUGUGUCAGGGCUGAAAUGCAGUUAAAAUGUUUUUACUGGGUAGAACACACUGUCUGGCAAUGAAAAAAAAACUUCUAAUAAUUACUUAUUAAUUAUAAUAAUUAUAAUUUCACAAUUUCUUUAAUUACUUUGAUGAAAAAUUUCUAUAGAUCUAAAGGUCACUUUUAUUCUGUCAACAGCUCCAUUUGUUUUUAUUUACUUCCUUCAGCCUCUCCGUAUUUUCGACAGACACCUCACUCUGCGUCCCUGCUUCUGGCCUGGCUUGGUUUUUGGGGUAAAUCUCAUCAUGCUUGCACAAUUAGAUCUUUCCACUUUAAUGGGCUCAGCAGGCACCACAAGAGCAUUAAGAGUAGUUAAUUACGAGUUACUUUAUUAUGAAAGCAGGAAGGAACCACUGAAUUCCUGAAGGGUGUAACCAGAAAAAGCCUUAAAUCUUGUGUGAAUUCCAAUAAAAGUAGGAUAAAGUUAAAGUUUCACCAUGUUGAUUAUUUACAAUCGAUACACUGACAUAACCAGAUUAGAAUAUGCAAUAGACAUUUUUUUUGGACAAGCUCUUUAUUUACUAAUUAUUUGCCUGGUGAUGAAAAUGCACAAACUUUUACAUUUUCAUAACCUUCCCAUUGUAAACUAGCAUUAUCGCUUCUAUUUACAUAUUAAUACAUGACAGGAAGCUACCGUAUGUUUUAUUUAACUUAUAUAUCUUAUUGGACUAAAAGGACUUUAAAAAGCACUAGGUUUCUGGUCACAAUAACUAUUGUUUUAGUUUUCUUGUUAUAUAGCAUCCUAGUCCAUCUCCUUUAGAAGUAAUUGUACAAUUUGAACCUGUUAUUAGAGCACUUUGGGGAAUUGGUGGUGAGAGAGUAUCUGUAUAGUCUUGUGUCUUUAAGUAUGCUAUUGAAGUGUAACAGAUAUCAGCUUAAUUGGUGUUUUGCCUCUCAAACCCCCCUCCUCCCAGUUCUGUACAACUCAUGGUGGCCUGCAGAGUCUCUCAAGCUUUUUUUUGAAAAGCACUCUGCAUGAGACUUCAUUAUUUCUAUGUGGUCACAUACAGGGUUUAACAUCAUUAGGUGUAAUGGGGACGCAGCUGUUGAUGAACAACCCCUGACUCCAACAAGCUGUGACUCUGAAAGGGAAACGUAAGAUCAGCGUGUAGUAUGUGUACCUUAA